UACGAAGGGGGCUAGCGUUGCUCGGAAUCACUGGGCGUAAAGCGCACGUAGGCGGACUCUUAAGUCGGUGGUGAAAUCCUGGAGCUCAACUCCAGAACUGCCUUCGAUACUGAGAGUCUCGAGUCCGAGAGAGGUGAGUGGAACUGCGAGUGUAGAGGUGAAAUUCGUAGAUAUUCGCAAGAACACCAGUGGCGAAGGCGGCCUUCUGGACCAAUACUGACGCUCAUGCACGAAAGCGUGGGGAGCAAACAGG
rnacentral:rRNA from 1 species